rnacentral:lncRNA from 1 species
CGCGCGGCCAGUCAGCCCUGCGGUGCGGUGGGCAUUGCCAGAGCAGGGCGCCCCCUGCAGGGACGCACCCGGGGCGGGGGCCAGGCUGGGGCGAGCCCCCCUUGGUUCUGGAGAGGAAAUGACAUACAGUUUGUGAAAGCAUAAAUAUUCGUGAAAAUAAGAAAAUUCAGGAAGGAAACAAAGCUUAAGGCAGUGAUUGAUAGGUUAUUUCUUGGACACAGCUGAACGUAUACUGUGCGCCUGCAACUUUCCGGUGGUUUCGGACCGGACUUCAGUGAAGCCAGUGAAGUCGGUCGACUUGCAGAACUUCCUUUCAGAGGGGCGUACACAGCACCGCGGCCGUGUGCCUGUGAUCUCCUUCUGAGUUUGAAAAAGAAGAUCCUAGACACCGAGCCAAAUAUGUUUGCAUAAACCGGGAGACUUGUGGCUCUAUUUUGUAACAGCUUGGCGCAGGGCAGCUGGUUUGGAGAUGUCUCUGUUCUUCCCUUGGUGGGGGUGCCGGAAAAAAUGUGCUGCCUGGGCGAUCGAGGUUGGGGCAAAAGCGUUGCAAAGGAAAAGGUGGGAGGACUCUACUUUCACAUUUCCCAAAAGAGUUUUACCAUAAGACUAUUUCUGGAUUGUUCUAACGUGAGGAUAUUGGGAGCAUUUUGAAAAUACUGGAGGAAAAGCUGUCACUGGGCGAUUUAAAUCCGGAAGCUGGAAAGUCCAAGAUCAGGGAGUCAGCAUCUGGUGAAGGCCUUCUUGCUGUGUCAUCCCAUGGUGGAACAUGGAAGGAAUGCUUGUCAAAUAGAGCACGCAGGGACCCUGAGCAACCAGGACUGUUGGCAUGACAAGCGGGCGAGCAGAGGAUGGGGGAGCCAGAAGAGAAGGUGCUGAAAGGAAGAGCUGAAAACAAGCUUGACCCAUCACUCAAAGUUGUCUAAUAGUCCUUGAAUCCAGAUGCCUCAUGGCCCUAGGAGGGCCAAACACACUCGGGGGUUGGAAAGGAAGCAUCACAGUGCUGGUGUCAGGAUACCUGAGUUCCAGCCUUGUCUUUGACAUUUAUGAGGUGUAUAAACUGGGAGGGUCACUUCAGCUCUCUGAGCCUUAGUUUUGUGUACUGUAAAGUGGGAGAAAUAAUACAUCCCUCACAAAGGCAUAAAUAGGCCAGGUGCGGUGGCUCACGCCUGUAAUCCCAGCACUUUGGGAGGCCAAAGCGGGUGGAUAACCUGAGGUCAGGAGCUCGAGACCAGCCUGGCCAACAUGGUGAAACCCCAUCUCUACUAAAAAUACAAAACCCCCAUCUCUACUAAAAAUACAAAAAUUAUCCAAGUGUGGUGACAGGCACCUGUAAUCCCAGCUACUUGGGAGGCUGACUACUCAGGAGAAUUGCUUGAACCUGGGAGGCGGAGGUUGCAGUGAGCCGAGAUCAUGCCACUGUACUCCAGCCUGGGUGACAGAGUAAGACUCCAUCUCAAAACAAACAAACAAACAAAAACAAGACAAAGGCAUAAACAAUAAACAAGAGAUUGAUUUUUUUGGUAACAGCUUUAUUGCAAUAUAAUUCAAGUACCAUAAAAUUCACCACCCCCGCUUUUUUUCGAAACAGGGUCUCACUCUGCUGUCACCCAGGCUGGAGUGCAGUGGCAUGAUCACUGCUCACUUCAGCCUCGACCUCCUAGGUUCAAGCGAUCCGCCCACCUUUGUCUCCCAAGUAGCUAGGACUAUAGGUGCACACCACCACACCCAGCUAAUUAUAAAAUUUUGUUGUGGAGACGGGCUCUCAUCACGUUGCCCACGCUGAUCACGAACCCCUGAGCUCAAACAAUCUUCCUGCCUCGGCCUUCCAAAGUGCUGGGAUUAUAGACAUGAGCCACCACACUGGGCCAAAAUUCACCCUUUUAAAGUAUGCAGUUCUGUUUUUUAGUGUAUUCACAGAGUUGUGCAACCAUCACCACUAUUUCAUAGUAGAACAUUUUUAUAACUCCUAAUGGAACCAAUACUGUUAUCAAUCACUCUCUAUCCUCCCUCCUGAGAGAUCGACUUUAAACUAUUUGGUGCUGUACCCAUUUUGCUUUGUAUAGAUAACAGUUGAUCAUUGCUACACAAUAGUCAGUAGUCUGCUCAUAAGUAAUAUCACAAUUAUUCUUCAGACUUAGUAAGAGCUGGCUUGAGAACUGUGUCAGGAGUAAGUUCGGCAGGGGAAUGGUAGAGAUGAAGAGGCUUAAAGAACAGUUUGUUUCUCUCUCAUAGAAUAAUCCAGGUAGCUCCAGGUAGCUCACAGCUCCAUCUUCCCUAGGGCACGAGCAACUUUCUCAGGAUACAAAAUGUCAGCUAGAGCUCCAGCUGUUAUAUCCUUGUUCCAGACAGCAGGAUGAAGACAGAGAUGAAGAUUGCAUGCCAUUGGCUUUUAAGGAAAGGUCUCAGAAGUUGCCACAAACACUUCUACUAACUUUUUUUUUUUUUGAGAUGGGGUCUUACCCUGUCACCUAGGCUGGAGUGCAGUGGCACGAUCUUGGCUCACUGUAACCUUCGCCUCCUGGGGUCAAGCAAUUCUCCUGCCUCAACCUCCCGAGUGUCUGGGAUUAUAGGCGCCCGCCACUACACCUGGCUAACUUUUUUUGUAUUUUUAGUACAGAUGGGGUUUCACCACGUUGGCCAGGCUGGUUUCAAACUCCUGACCUCAAAUGAUCCGCCUGCCUAAGCUUCCCAAAGUGUUAGGAUUACAGGCGUGAGCCACCAUGCCCAACCACUUCUACUAACAUCUAAUUGACCAGAACUCACUAGUAUGAUCAUAUCUAGCUGUAAGAAAGGCUGGGAAAUUUAGCCUUAUUCCAAAGAGCCAGUUAAAAAUUGGGGUUUGCAUUAUUAUGAAAGAAAAGACCAGGUAUUUGGUAGAUGUAUCAGUCAGCAAAUGCUAUAAUAAUUCUGCAUAACAAACCAUGAGCAUACAACAAUGAGCUUUUGUUUUCCUUGCCCUCAGGGCUGUGGGUUGGCUGGGAGGCUCUGCAUCAGGCUACAGGGCUGCCGGGCUUGGUGGAGGUAUACUGCACUCACACUAAUGGAGGGCACUGCAAAAUCACAUAACAAAGGGUAUGAGUGUAAAAUUCUAACACCAGAAGCGUCUGCAGAAUGAUAAACAAUGAUUCAUUUAUACAGAGGACAACCAAGAUUGCCAGGAAAUUCAAUGUCUGCAGUCUUGGUCCCCGGAGACCUCCCAGGAACCUGCUGCUGCUGCUGUCCUACAAUUCAGCUCCCAGUGUAGCUUCCAGUUCUGAUGAUCCCACUUCCCCGGUUACAGAUUAAGCUAGUCCAGCCUCUCACAUGAGCUUUUUAGGCCACAGUCCCUAGUUUCAGCCUAACCAGACACCUGCAGCCUUUUCUCUAAGGUUUUGCCAAGACAAACAGAGUAGUUCAGGAUGCCUCUAAGGGAGAAGGAAAGUGGGAAAAAUCAUUUGGGAAAAAUUCAGAGUGCAGAAGCAGCCUGCCUGAAAAGUUGCUGGAACAGACAAAAAUAAAACAACCUGGGGAAAAUAAAACAAAACAAAACUCAGGCUGGACCUGGACAGAUAAACAAACAGGAUCCCGCACAGGAGUUCUUUAUUCUUUGUCUAAUUAGCAAGCUCCCAGGAAAAAAUUUUCUCCCUUUUUCAGUCAGAUACAUGGUGAGAACUUGCACACGGAGGAGGGGGGAUUACCUAAAACAAACUCACAGUAUACAAACAAGAGAAGCUGUGCUUUGUGCUUACCUAAAAACAUACCCACAGCUGCAUGAGAUAAGGGGCGUCGCACAGACAGCCUUACUGAUAAGAGAAGUUACUCAAACUGCUACAGAGAUGAGAGGGGUUUCUCAGCUGUAACCUGGCAAUCCACUCUGACUCCUCUCUCUGCUGCAGAGAGCUUUAUUUCUUUCACUUAUUAAACUUUCCCUCCAACACCAUGUUUGUGUCUGCGUUCCUAAUUUUCUUGGACAUAGGACAAAGGACCUGGGGUACCAGUUAAGACAAAGAGAAACUGCUACAUUAAGGUGGGUUGGUGAGACUGCAACACCUCUAUGUAGGGCCAGAAGCCAUUUUCCUCUGCCCCACUUCCCCGGGGGCCAGCCAGAGUCAGACCCAUUUUUCCCGUUCAAAUUCCCCAAACACAAAAGCUUCAUCAUGCCAUUUUCUAUUACAAUUGGGCUUGAAGGUACAUCUACAAGAGAGUGAAAGCCCAGGCAACUUGUCCCUUGAGUUACAAAGAAUUCCGUUUAUCUUUCCUGGGGUAAGACUAAGUCUACAGCAGUAAAAAUUCAGCACUCAGAUUGGUUUUCAAAGGCUGACCUUUCCAUUAUUUACAUUCUUAAUGAAUCAUCCUGCUUAAUUGUAAUCAGUGGAGCUUAAGGCAAAUUUCCAAAAGGUUUGGUCAAACUUUUGGUGUAAAUAAUCUCAGUGUAUCUAUUUCAACUUUACUUAGUCCGCUUCCAUUAGUAACAUGAAGAAGCAUUUUCUUGGGUACAACCCAAAGUUAGCACCAAUUAUGAAAUCUAUUGGUUAGUUCAGCAAAUUAAACAGUUACUUUUGUUGUUGUUUUUUGAGACAGGGUUUUGUUCUGUAGCCCAGGCUAGAGAGCAGUGGUGCCAUCUCAGCUCACUGCAACCUCUGCCUCCUGAGCUCAAGUGAUCUUCCCACCUCAGCCUUCCUAGUAGCAGGGACCAUAGGCACCUGCCACCAUGCCCCGCUAAUUUUUUUUUUUAUUUAUUUUUUGUAGAGAUGGGGUUUCUCCAUGUUGCCCAGGCUGGUCUCAAACUCCUGGCCUCAAGUGAUUCACCCGCUUCAGCCUCCUAAAGUGUUGGGAUUACAAGCAUAAGCCACUGCACCCAGCCAAAAUGGUUACUUUCAGUAACAGCUGUG